CUCUCUCCCCAGGGACCCCACCAGAGAUGUCUAUGCUCCAGUGACCAUGCUUUGUGGCUGGCCCUUCUUGGCCUAAGAUUCACUUCCUGCUGUUCUGUCUGGGCGCCAAUGAGGAGAAAGGGUGAAGGCGUUUAUAGAUGUGCCACCUGCCUCAGAGCCCAGCACCCUGGGAGAGAGGGAGCAAGAUGAACAUAGAUGAUUACGAGAACGUUAGCCUAGGGAAGCCAUCACCUUGGCCGCUUGGACAGUUUCUCAGGAUAGAGCCGCGUCCAGCCCACAAGACUCCAAGGAUGGUCCGGGUAACCCUGGUUCUCCUGACUCUGGCCUUGCUGGCCUCCCUCACUGCUAUCAUCAUUCUUUAUUUCCAGGUAGAGACAUGCACAGGAAAAGAGGAAGCCCAGCGGAAGGCUUACCUGGAUAAUAUUACCACCCUGACUUCAGAGAUGCAGAUGUUAAGAAGUCGUCUGGAAAACCCUAGGGUUCAGACGUUAGAGACCAAGAAGACUGGGAGUGGCCUGGAAAAUGUCACAGCAUCUAGUGCUGUCAUGGAAGGGUUAAAAGGUUAUUUGGAGACCAUUACUGGCCUCCCUGUCAGCAUCCAUCAGGUACAGACCAGGGCCUCUGGAGUGAACCCUGAGAUACCAGAGGAGGCCCGAGAGUUUGAGAGGGUCCUGAACCACCUGGAGGCCCCAUUGAGGAGGCCCUGGAGUUUGGAGAGAUCACUGAGACACCUGGAGCCCACGUGGAGAAGGUCUCAGCAACUGUUGAAGUCCAAACAGAUGUGA
rnacentral:lncRNA from 1 species